UAGACAUCGAUACAUUUGGAGAGUCUUUAGGAGUUUGUCCCCUCCAAAAAGAAAGAGAGAGGAGAAGACUUGAUUUGGAGCUUAAUAGGAGCUCUUGUCGCAGGAGAGAUGGCACUGAGAGCUAUUGCAUUUUAAGAUGUUCACAUGAAGUAGCUGCAAGUGCCAUCUUUUCUCGACAAAAGUCCCUUUAAGUUUUAACCUCAAGAAGUCAUUGCAUGGUCCAUCUUUCUUCUACACGAAGUCACAAAUUCCUCCUUAAAAGAAGAGCAUGGCAAAAGGUGCUUUGCUUAUCCUACGAGGAGAAUGCAUAGAUUCUUGCUAAGCAGAGGUGAAGGAAACAAAAGGAAGGAAACCGAGGGAAAGAAAGAUGGGAACCGUAGACCUGCUCGAGUACUGUGUGUUCAAGACCUUGGCCCUGGACUUGGCAAAGAUGCCGGAGAUCGCUAGGGACAGGCAGUCUACAAUGGUCGUGCCGCAAUGGCCAAUUUCCUGGUCUACGACGUGUACGGCCUCCAACUCACACUGGUGAGGGGCAACACGGAGUUGAGGAGGCUGCUGAUAAACACAGCGAGCUGUAGUCAAGGAGACCGACUGCUCACUUGAUCUCACUGGGCAGAAAAGGGUGAAAAGCAAAGAUGAAGCCAACGAGGAGAAAUCAAAGGAUGAUGAGACUGGUGAAGGAAGCAGAGUCGCACCUCAGGGUCUCUUGAACCUGAUUGAUGGCCUUCCAUGCUGAAGAUGCGACAAGGGAAUCACCCGAUUGGUUGGAAGAGAAUGUCAUGGCCCGAUGAAUCAACACGAUUCAAAGGUUUUCUGUAGAAAGGUCGUGACUGAUCCAUAAACGAGUGAUCCUCAACCGACCCGCAAAGUUUUAAGGUUUUCUUGAAUAUUCUAAAAUACUCCUAGAAGCAAGCAAUACAGUAAUUGUGUACAAAUGUAAUAAAUACGGGUAAUUAGUAGUUAUGGAGAUGCAAUGUUAGAUCAUGAGAAGAUCUGCAGUUACGAUUAGCCUUAUAUUUGUAUAUAUAGGGGCUUCCUCCUUUUCA